rnacentral:lncRNA from 1 species
ACUCGCAGAGGCGGCGGCGAUGUGUCUCCUUUCUUCUGCGGCGGGGGAGAGUCAGGGAAGGGAUAGAUGACGGCGCUUCUUCCACCUAACUGGCGCGCCACCGACGCCGCCGUCGAGGACAGCAUCAGGAGGAGGAGGAGUGCCGCGGCGGCGUGUGUUGCGGAGCUCUUGUGCGUAGCCAUUGUUGGAGCUCGCUGCCCGUGGCUGAGCUUCUAUGGAUCUGAUCGGUGCG